CACGUAGGGGCAAGCGUUGUCCGGAAUUACUGGGCGUAAAGGGCGUGUAGGCGGCCAUGUAUGUCAGGUGUGAAAGGCCUCGGCUUAACCGAGGCAUUGCACAUGAAACUGGCAGGCUUGAGGGCAGGAGAGGAGAGCGGAAUUCCUAGUGUAGCGGUGAAAUGCGUAGAUAUUAGGAGGAACACCAGUGGCGAAGGCGGCUCUCUGGACUGAACCUGACGCUGAGGUGCGAAAGCUAGGGUAGCGAACGGGAUUAGAUA
rnacentral:rRNA from 1 species